GAUGAACGCUGGCGGUAUGCUUAACACAUGCAAGUCGAACGGACUCUUCGGAGUUAGUGGCAGACGGGUGAGUAACGCGUGAGAAUCUGGCUUUGGGUUCGGGACAACCACUGGAAACGGUGGCUAAUACCGGAUGUGCCGAGAGGUAAAAGAGAAAUUGCCUGAAGAUGAGCUCGCGUCUGAUUAGCUAGUUGGUGAGGUAAAGGCUCACCAAGGCAGCGAUCAGUAGCUGGUCUGAGAGGAUGACCAGCCACACUGGGACUGAGACACGGCCCAGACUCCUACGGGAGGCAGCAGUGGGGAAUUUUCCGCAAUGGGCGAAAGCCUGACGGAGCAAUACCGCGUGAGGGAAGAAGGCUCUUGGGUUGUAAACCUCUUUUCUUAGGGAAGAACAAAAUGACGGUACCUAAGGAAUCAGCAUCGGCUAACUCCGUG
rnacentral:rRNA from 1 species